rnacentral:rRNA from 1 species
AACGUAGGACGCAAGCGUUAUCCGGAGUUACUGGGCGUAAAGCGCGGGCAGGCGGCUCGAAACGUCUGAUGUGAAAUCUCCUCGCUCAACGGGGAGAGGCCAUUGGAAACGGUCGAGCUGGAGGGCAGUAGAGGUAGGCGGAAUUCCGGGUGGAGUGGUGAAAUGCGUAGAGAUCUGGAGGAACACCAGAGGCGAAGGCGGCCUACUGGGCUGCACCUGACGCUGAGCCGCGAAAGCCAGGGGAGCGAACGGG